GUGAAUCAUCGAAUCUUUGAACGCAAAUUGCACUCUCUGGUAUUCCGGAGAGCAUGCCUGUUUGAGAGUCAGUUUAAAUAAAAAAAGGAGUGGUGGUUGUCUUUUGCGGUGACGCACCGGAAUUGGGUAGUCUUGCUUUCGGUUAAGUGACAUAAAAUUUUGCAUGAUGUUUUUCGAACGUAUUUAAAUGAUUUUACGUACGUUUGCGAUAUCGAAUACUAGGUGUGGGCAUCCUCAUGAUUCGCGUCUAUAAAUGU
rnacentral:misc_RNA from 1 species